CUGGAAGGGGUGAGAGGAGGGAGUGUUUCCUAGAAGCACGAGAGAAGCUCAGCUGCAAGUACGACUCACACCUUCACUAGAGGAAGCUGGUCACUGCCAGCACUCUACCCAGCAGAGAGGAGGCCAGAGGAACAUGUAGACCUGCUCUGCUCUUCUGCUCUGCUGUGGUGCAGCUCGGUGGCAGAGGAAGCCAGGUCCUCAAUGCUGCCUUCAGAGAAGCAACCGAACAUCCUGGGAUUUCUUGGUCACGUCAGUUUUGAGUGUUCUGCUCCUUUGUUGCCUCCCCAGGGCAUCUGGACCUGGGCCUGGGAUGUUGGUGGAUAUUAAGGCCCAUCAGGGGUUUUGGACCCCUACGUGCAGCUGACCCCUGGGCCUCUCCAUCCGAAGCAUCCACACUCUCAUCAGAUGCGGCAUGCUUGGCUGUCGAUACCGUCUUCCCAGGUAAGUUGUUCAAGGCCAUAAGGCUGGAAGUGAAAGCGUGAGCUCCUUACCCGGGUCCUCUGGUGUCCAGCACCAGGUUCUUUCUUCUGAACAGAGAAGGGGCCUAGGAUGAUG
rnacentral:lncRNA from 1 species